rnacentral:rRNA from 1 species
UACGAAGGGGGCUAGCGUUGUUCGGAUUUACUGGGCGUAAAGCGCGUGUAGGCGGGGCGUUAAGUCGGGGGUGAAAGGCCAGAGCUCAACUCUGGAACUGCCCUCGAUACUGGAGACCUUGAGUGAGGAAGAGGCGAGUGGAAUUCCGAGUGUAGAGGUGAAAUUCAUAGAUAUUCGGAGGAACACCAGAGGCGAAGGCGGCUCGCUGGUCCUUUACUGGCGCUGAGACGCGAAAGCGUGGGGAGCAAACAGG